CAGCAGCCGCGGUAACACGUAGGUGGCAAGCGUUGUCCGGAAUUAUUGGGCGUAAAGGGCUCGCAGGCGGUUUCUUAAGUCUGAUGUGAAAGCCCCCGGCUCAACCGGGGAGGGUCAUUGGAAACUGGGAAACUUGAGUGCAGAAGAGGAGAGUGGAAUUCCACGUGUAGCGGUGAAAUGCGUAGAGAUGUGGAGGAACACCAGUGGCGAAGGCGACUCUCUGGUCUGUAACUGACGCUGAGGAGCGAAAGCGUGGGGGGCGAACAGGAUUAGAUACCCCCGUAGUCCCUGUCUCUUAUAC
rnacentral:rRNA from 1 species